rnacentral:lncRNA from 10 species
AAAAAUUAGCUGGGCGUGGUUGUGGGCGCCUGUAAUCCCAGCUACUCGGGAGGCUGAGGCAGGAGAAUCGCUUGAACCCCGGAGGCAGAGACUGCAGUGAGCCGAGAUCGUGCCACUGCACUCCAGCCUGGGCGACACAGCAAGACUCCAUCUCAAAAAAAAAGAAAAAAGUCUAGGUCUGUGUUUCCAAACUUGCGACUAGAAGCCCUCAGGGACACUCCACUCAACUAAUGAUAAGAACAUAACAAGAAAAAAGAUCUUCUGCAAAAACAUAAUUUAGGCCUUAGCAAAAAGCAGAAUUCAGCCUUUCCAGGUCCCUAGAUGAAGAGGAGACUUUUUGUCCUGGGCCAUUUCCCACUAGAGCCACUGACUGCUCCUUCUGAACGUUUCACUACACUUUUUCAGGGUGCAUGCAACAGGAAUCCUUGAAGUCCAUGCUGACAGCACCUACUAUGGAAACCAUUCAGUGCCAUUAUCGUCACUACCCUCCAUACUCUGGACCCAGCAAACAAGCAAGACCUAUGUGUACGCUGUAAGAGUUGGGAUAACACU